UGGAUUUAAAAUGAACAAUCUAAUAUGUAUUAAAUGGAUCAAGAAUAUUAAAAACAAUAAAGAAAAAAGGAAGAUAGAACAAGGAUGCAUGCGAUGUAUUGUAGUGCAGGGGUGUGAAUUGCAAGAUACUGUUGGGCUUCAGCAAAAGAAGCCCAUGGCUUGUGUAGAUUCAGAGGAAGGGGUAUGGUGCAUGAGUGAGGAUGUAUGUGAGUAAAUUUUCACGGGCCAAGGUUUAUGGGCCCAAAACACAUUUACAGGAGAGGGAAGGAAGAUUAUCACACACUAAUUUACCUUUUUUACAAUGUUUCAGCCAAACCUUCUAUCCACCUCCUCCGCCACGGUGAAAUUCACCGCCGAAGGCGGUGGAGGUCAAAUCACUACCAAAUUGGCCCCAAAAUAUUUGUGUUCUCUCCCUCUCUUAUAAUCCACUAUUAUUUUUCCUUAAUUUCUAACAUAGAGUCACAAUUGAAGCCUAAAGAGCAAGAACCCUAAGAAACCAAUUCAAAAAUUAAAUGUCCAUGGAUGCCCCAAUCGAACCCAAACUAUGGGGGGGGGGAUUGCUUUUACGCUAAAUUGCGGUGAGUAUUUGGCGUGAAUCAAGCAAGACAAGAAAAAGGGCUUAUCGUCCGGAGCAACUCCGGUGAUUCUUCGAGGUUGAUGCAAACAACAAGAUGAUUCAAGAGGCUGCUAUUUCCUCAUGUAUGCUUCGUUUCACUUUUCCACUUCGCGCUCGAAGCUUCUUCUCUUCUUCUCCACUACUUAGUAUGUAGGUUGUAGGUUGUGAAGUUGAUGGUGAUAUGAUACUAUGUGGUUUGUGGGAUAUGGAAGAGAGAGAUUCUAAGGAUAGGUUGAGAGAGGGUGAAGUUGAGAGUGAGAGAGAUUUUAGGAUUCUGUGAAUUUUGUAAUGAGGUAAUGAUUGGUUGAUUCGUGAGCAAUGAUUCUGUGAUGAUUGGAGCUGAUGAGAGCAAUGAUUGAAGAGUGAUUGAAUUCUCCCUCAAUGAUUGAUGAUGAUUGAAUUUACAGGGUUGUAGAAUGUAACUGAAACAGGCAACUUAGUAAGGGGCUAGGGAAAUAUUAAGUUUGUUAAAUUUCAUAGUGUAAGUUGGUUAUUAGCAGUUAAGACUCUAUUAAAAAUUCUGUUGAGUUCAGUUAGCUUGGAUUGAAGUGAAGUUAGUUGGUUAGGAUCAGUUAUGAGUUGAAUUUCUAUUAGUGAAAAUUAGUUGGUUAUAUUAGUGAAAGUUAUGUUAAUGUUGAGUUAGAUUUUGUUCUGCUUUUGGUUAACAUUUGAUGUAAAAGCAAAGGCUGGUUGUUAGGAUUAGAAAUGUUAAGUGGGGUUCAAAUAUUGAUAUAUGUUAGUGAUGUUAGUUGAACAUUAUGCAUGUUGUUAGUGUAGUAUUGAUGAGCUGGGGUUUUGGAUGAAUGCUACUGUAAUGAAGUUUGGGACUGAGCAUGCAUAGGUGUAACAGGUUAACCAUUUUGGUUAACCGGUUACCAACAUGAAAGUUGGUGUUCUAGUAUGCUUAUUAAGACUGUGAAAUGUAAUGUAUCUGGUUAACCAUUUUUGUUAAGCAGUUACCAACACGAGAGUUGGUUUUUCUAGGUUAUUGGAUGAGCAUAAGGUCUUGUGCAUGUAUGCUAGAUUGUGAGCUAAUGGUUGUUUAAAUUGGGGCAUUGUUGUGAUGUAUGCUAACAGUAGUGGUUGUGUUAUAUAUUUGAAAGUGAUAGUGAAUCAAUGGUUAGCAUUGUUGUGUUUAUGUGAUGUAGGGCACAUUUGAAAGUUUGCUAAGAUAACUGCUUCUACUGCAGCCAUGACAUGAUGUAGUUCUUAUGAAAAGGUCUAUGAAUGCAUGGUGUACUGAGGCCUGGUUAUGAUGUAGGUUUGACUAUGGUAGAACUUCAUGGUUUUGGCAAUGCAUAGCUUAAAGCACCAUGAGGGCAAGAUGGAUGAGGAUGACUUGGGGACUUGAAGAUUUAUGAAGGAUUUUGGUCAAAAGGGGAUGACUUAGAAAUGGAGGGCAAUGAGAAUUAGGGUUCAAGAUAGGUAGUUGACUUUGGUCAACUAUUUGACCUAAAAGUCAACAGUUGACCAAAAGUCAACCCAGGUCAAAAUUAGGGUUUUCUUGGUGUAAUUUUGUAUGGGCUUGAAAUGGAUGAUUGAAAUGUAAACUUGAUGAUUUUGUAAUGAGAAAUGACUUUUUGAAAUGAAUUGUAACUUAUGUUCCAAGUAA
rnacentral:lncRNA from 1 species